rnacentral:rRNA from 1 species
AUUGAACGCUGGCGGAAUGCUUUACACAUGCAAGUCGAACGGUAGAGGGGCAACCCUUGAGAGUGGCGAACGGGGGAGUAAUGUAUCGGAACAUGCGCAGUCGUGGGGGAUAACGUAGCGAAAGUUACGCUAAUACUGCAUCCGAUCUCUGGAUGAAAGCGGGGGAUCGCAAGACCUCGCUUGAGUGGAGUGGCCGAUAUCAGAUUAGGUAGUUGGUGGGGUAAAGGCCUACCAAGCCGAGGAUCUGUAGAUGGUCUGAGAGGACGACCAGCCACACUGGGACUGAGACACGGCCCAGACUCCUACGGGAGGCAGCAGUGGGGAAUUUUGGACAAUGGGCGCAAGCCUGAUCCAGCCAUUCCGCGUGCAGGAAGAAGGCCUUCGGGUUGUAAACUGCUUUUGUACGGAACGAAACGCGCUGAGCUAAUACCUCGGCGUAAUGACGGUACCGUAAGAAUAAGCACCGGCUAACUACGUGCCAGCCGCCGCCGUAAGAC